UUCCUGUCUUGAAAAGUUGAUCCUGAAGAGGUAGAACAUGCAAUAAUGAAGAGGCCUCCAGCCUCGCUCCCCAUUAUUGAGUAAAGAAGUUACUGAGAACUAAAUGUGGGAGAAGCAAGAGGAUUUAACUGUCAGAAAAACUGUUUCACAACAAACCUUGGGACUUUCCUGCAGGUAGCAACUUGCAGCUCUCCUAAACUGGAAGGGCAGGUCUGAGCAAAGGAAAAAAAACCAGCUGAGUCACUGGGAAUGAAAGCAGUGACUGCACUACUGCUAUGAUAAGAUUUGAUGCAUCUAAUCUCAUCUGAUGCACAGAUUCCCCCCCCAAAACCAAUAUUGAUCCUUCUGCAAUGGUCAAGAUAUGAACUACAAAAGCACCUAAGGGAAUUUGUUCUCUGCCACCUCUACUAUUGUCUCCCAUUUUCUGUGGUACGGCAUAGCGCUCCUCUUAGGAUAAAACCAAAAGGGAAAGGAAAAAAAAGGCUGAGAAACAAGAGGAGAAGGAAAGAAAGAAUUAGUAACUAAUGGGAGAAGAAAGAGAAAUAAUGGAAAUAGGAAUAUCUACUAAAGUAAAUGGGAGAGCAUGUAUACAAGUAGAAGAAAAAUAAUGAAUAAUCUCCUUGUGAAAUGGCAUCAACCCAGAAAUAAGGGCGCAUGAAGUUUAGCUGUGCUUUCAGGUACUGCAGUUACCAGAAACGACUGGGUAUGAGGCGUUUCCAAGUUUUCCCUUCUGUUAUGCUUAUACUUUCUGGUGGAUUAUGCAUAUCUCUGUAACUUUCUUACCUAACAACCUCACAGCAGGUGCAGCUUCCAAGAGCACCAAACAAGAGCACGAUGUGUGUUUCUCUACUGCUGCAUCAUCUGCAAGAAGCUGAUUGUGGCAAACUUGUCUAAACAAGGUAAGGAAAAGGAGUUCCUAUUGUCACCCCUCUGUCAAGCUGUCUGUAUGCUCUAGCCUGAGACAGAAUCAUUUUUACCUUGGAUGCAAAGCUACUAGACUCUCAUGAAAUGUAUCCACCUUUCAGUUGCUGUUGCCGUGCAGUGCUGACACUUACUGAAAAAUAAUGCUGUAUUUAAUAAUUAGGCAUUUCCUAUUUCUAGUUAACAUGAAGCUGUUAACUUCUUCCAGUAGAUAAGUCAGUAAUGUACCUAGACAGGGUAAAAAGUAGCUUUCAAGUGGUUCUAACGUGGGCAGUUUUGAGCAAAGGGCAAGAAUAUGUACUUAUCUCUAGGACAUUUAUUACUUGAACUGUUAAGAAAUAUGUUUGCUAUUGCAUUAGGAAUAUCACAUAUGUUAAAUCAGGAGACCAUCUAACUAAAGCACCUCUUAAAAGAAAUAGUAUCUCUUUUAAUGCCUAAAGGCAAAUCAAGGCAAAGCAAAGAAUCUGUGAAUAGCAACUGGUCAGAUCAACUUUGUUUCUGAUAGUGGAGGAAAAGUAGCUGAAAGGUUUACAUUUUAAUCCUUGCAGGAAAAGAGACCUGGUUCUGAUUCAUCCCUUCUUUCCAUACAUGCUACAAUUUAACUGAAAGCAAAGAUGAAGUGCUUCACAAAAGUAUACAAGAAGCUCCUCUUCACCUUACUGACAUAUUUUAAAAGCGCAGUGCUUGGUGCUACCUCCAUUUUUAGCAAGGAAAGCCAUCAAAGUCAGGAAUUUACCUUAACGGUUAAAGCAAAUACCCCAGGAGCCUAAAAAAACCCAAGCCCCAAAUUCCCCUAAACUCCUUCCUGGUAAUAAAAGACUGACAUAUCUGAUGUACUUUGGUCCUGCUUCUGCAAUCGUUCUUGGAACGGAGCUCUCAAGAUAUCAGGAGAAGUGGUGUGACUGACAUGAAAAAUGACAUUUCAAGUUCAAAAAUCCUUAUGUUAACCUGAAAACUGUCACUGACCUUGAAAGAAGCUGCCCCAGUAAGACCACUCAUCUUUUUGGUAGGGUUUCCUAAGGAUGUAAGGCCUGUGCAGUCUCACUGUGUCUGUAUAUCCAUCUUCAUAACAAUUUGGAGGAGUGUUGGUAGUUUCACCUAACCUUGUCAGAGAGGUAGAAAUAUUGAAGUUACUGUGAUCCUACAGGUUUUAUUAAAGUAGGUGAUCAAGGGAAUAAAACAAUGUCCCUGAGAAAGGAAUGAUGAUAGUGUGAUGUUUCAGCCUGUAUGCUUGGUUGAGAGACACAGAUUUAUAAGAAACCUGACUUCAUUAUUGCUGGUGCUCUUGUUUUCUGCUGGGAUCCAUUCUGGAGCCCUUCCAGUUAGCAGUGUGAUGUAGAAUGGGAUGGCUGUGACUUCCCAGCCUAUGACAAUUGCUCAGGGUGUAGUAGACUCAGAAAUUGACUAUCCUUGCUAGUGUUGCUGUUAGCUUAACACUUACUGCGAUGAUGCUGAUGGUCACUUUCAAGCAGGCCCAAAGAACCCCUGUUGCUGAGAUAAUGUUGUGUAGAAGGGUGAUCUCAUGCAGGCUUAUCAGCAGAACACACAAGCAGAGCUGAAGGAGAAGAGGCAAAGAUUUGGUAAACUUACUGGUUUGAGACCAUACAGCCCACCUAAAAAUAUCUGACACAAACUCCCAGCAGUCUAAGAUAUUCUCAACAGGAGGGGAAAAAAGGGAACCCAGGGGGAAAGAGAUCUAUACCUGUGCCUGAAGAUCAAAGGUCAACAUGGAAAAGCAGAGGUUCAUCAUGAAGUAUUGUGACUGUAGGCUUUCUAGAGCACCCCCCACUCGAAAGGCCAUCAUGCUUUGACUCUGGAUGAGGAUGAUGGCACAGAUCACAUCAAAGGAGCCUACCAGGAGGAUCAGAAUGAAACGGGCCUGAUGGGAGAGAGAAGUAAGGAUGUGACUGGCCAUGCACAGAGAGAACUGUGAAGUUGACAAUGGACCGAAACAUCACUAGCAAGAUGGAAAGAACAAAGACGAUGAGCUCCUGGCGAUUCUCCUGCAGGAUUCCUCUGGUCACAUAGUAUACGCAGAACACUGGGAAGAAGAAGAAAGGGCAGUUAUCAGCAGUGACUGAGAAAACUGCAAAUGAUUGGGAAAUCACAAAGUGAAUCAUGGGAUUUUUGGCAUGCUUAUGACCUCAGAAAGUCCUGAAAGAUUUAAGACAGUAUUUCCUUGUUUUGCAAAUUGAGCUGCUAGAUCAGAGGAAGACUGUACAAAUAAUUUGAAAAUUAAACUUUUUUCUGAACAUGAAGAUUUUUGUAAAGAUAGCAAAUGCACAUUUCUGAAGUCAAGGACAUUCCCUUGGUUUUGGUAAGUGAACAGUUUUCAACAACCUAAAUCCCAAGUCCUCUUUAAAGUAAAUAUCUCAAGUGGUAAAUCCAAGAAACUGUUACAGCCAGGGUCUCUAUUUUUCUUUAAAGAGCUGUCAUCAGUUCUGUCAGUCUUUGUCUGCCCCAUAGAAAACAUGGUUUUGGCAUGUUUAUGGAGGUUAACUUACACAUCUUAAAAUCUCGAGAUCAAGCUAUGUAUGUUUAGUUUCUUUCCACGUAAGAAGGUGCCUUGAAGCGAACUACAACUCAGUAUAAGCAUGGCUCAUGUCAGGAGAUAUAUGUUCUAUGGCAAGCCUUGGAGCAUGGACACGUCUGAAUUCCCCAGCAUACUAUGGCACUCUCAAUUGUGGACACAGAUGAACUGCACCACGCCAGCAAAGCCUGCUUCACUUCCAUGUGAGGUUGGCAGUGAUGGGAAAAAGGAACUGGAUUUGCUGGGACCUCGGGCUCUAUGAGGAUCAUGCAGCAUUGGAUUGCCAUACUUUUCAUGGACAUCAGGAAUGCUGCUUUCUGCAUGUGCAGGAGCUUUUGAUGACUUACGUGUUGGCUAUUGGAAAACACAGGUUUAUUAUCAUUAUUAAACAGGUUUAUUUAAGACAAA